UACGGAGGGUGCAAGCGUUAGUCGGAAUUACUGGGCGUAAAGGGUGCGUAGGCGGCAAAAUAAGUCAGAUGUGAAAAACCAAAGCUCAACUUUGGCAGUGCAUCUGAAACUGUUUUGCUCGAGAAUUGGCGGAGAAAACGGAAUUCCACGUGUAGCGGUGAAAUGCGUAGAUAUGUGGAAGAACACCUGUGGCGAAAGCGGUUUUCUAGCUUAUUUCUGACGCUGAGGCACGAAAGCAAGGGGAGCAAACAGG
rnacentral:rRNA from 1 species